AGUCCGCCGCCUCCCUCCGAGCGCAGGACGCUCCGACGCCCGCUUGCCCGCAGGCCACCGCAGCCUAAGGUGUGGGGAAGGCUCCCUCUCUGGAGGAGCAGGUCGGAAGACCUCGGUGCAAAAGCAGGGACCCCCUGGCUGACCCUGUUCUCCCUCUGCAAAAUAAAGAGAGCAGGACAGUUUGGAGGCCUGUGCGUCAUUCCUUCCUCCCUCCAGCCUAUCUUAGACCUGGUGAUUUGUAGGAUCAGCCCCCGACCACAUUACUGGAUGAUAAUUCCUGUCCUGCUGUGGGCAGCAGAGGAAGCCGGGUUUUACUUGAAACCUGCCAGUCUAUUUCUUUUUCAGGAACCCCACCGGUGCAGAACCGUGCCACUGCACCCAUAAGACAGCCCGAGGCUCCUGGCAGACCCUGGGCUCUCCUCUUCAGGAAAACUUAAAAAUGCACUGUAUUGUCUGCCCAUCUGGAUUUUCUUGGGAGAAAGAGCUUGGAAGGAGGGAGAGAGCAAGAUGAUUUCCAUUUUUCCAUUCUUUUGGUUAAUUGUACCAGAUAAGUGACCGGCACCCUAGGGUGUCCUGGGGACUAUUUGUUUCCCACAGCCCACUUCAGAGUCGAGUCAGGGGCUUCUGUGACUCGGAUCAUUAUGGAUGAGAAUAAAUCUGCCCCUCACAAGUAUCCUCUUACAAAGGUGAAUAUUUUUACUAAAGGCAAUUUAUGAUUUUGUCCCAGUGACUGAAAGUGGCAACUCCCUCUGGACUGUGUGAGGGCCAGGGGUGAGAGGGUGACAGCAGGAAGAGGCCACCACCCAAGGACAGCUCUGAGCCGGAAUCCUGGAGGAAACGUUAUUAAUAAACAUCUUCUGGACAUUUGGCAGCCCGUGGAGCUUGCUCCAGCUUAAAGCAAUUAAUUCAGGACACCGACAUCAACUCUCCAGGUCUUUGACAGCUUGGAGCCGAAAUAAAAAUGCUAGUUCUCCGGGGAAGAGGGGAGGAGGGCCCGCUCUUUGCUGGACUGUUUGCUUAUGGGCCCAGCGAGCAACCUUCCCUGCAGAAUGAAAUGCAAGGUCGCACACAACGAACCGGCAGAGAAUAGAAGAUGGGAACGAACAGUUUGAACUAUUUGCUCAGCAGAAGGGCACCACAAUGCUGGGGUAGUGGCUUUCCCAUGCAUCCACUGUCCCUUCUUUGGGAUCUUUUGUUGUCCCGUCUCCUUUGGCCAGAUAAGAACACAGCUGCAGCCUUGUGGCUAAGUAAGGCUUCACUUAUCCCCUUAAAUCUCGGGGUGUCUUUUACUGUACCAGGCAUAGAUCAGUUCUUUCUUUUGACCAGGGGACUGGGAGGGAGGGAAGGAAGAAUUGAGGGGGAGGGAACAGACGGAAGACUCUCACAUUGCUGAUGUCUGGUUCAUGCCUUUCUUUCUCUCCUUUUUAAAUCCAAGCUGGGAUAAGAUGUGAUCUUUGUGGGCCAGUUUUAUUAAAGGGUCAGUGUUUUGUGCCAAAA
rnacentral:lncRNA from 1 species